rnacentral:misc_RNA from 1 species
UCUCCGUAGGUGAACCUGCGGAGGGAUCAUUACAGAGUUCAUGCCCUACCGGGUAGAUCUCCCACCCUAUGUUAUUAUUACUUUGUUGCUUGGGCGGGCCGUUAGGCUCCGGCCCGACUACCGGCCCCGGCUGGUAAGCGCCCGCCAGAGGACCCAAAACCCUGAACAUUAGUGUCGUCUGAGUACUAUAUAAUAGUUAAAACUUUCAACAACGGAUCUCUUGGUUCUG